AUUGAACGCUGGCGGCAGGCCUAACACAUGCAAGUCGAACGAGUGGCGGACGGGUGAGUAAUGUCUGGGAAACUGCCCGAUGGAGGGGGAUAACUACUGGAAAGGGUAGCUAAUACCGCAUACCAUUAGAUCGGCCCAGAUGGGAUUAGCUAGUUGGUGGGGUAACGGCUCAACAAGGCGACGAUCCCUAGCUGGUCUGAGAGGAUGACCAGACACACUGGAACUGAGACACGGUCCAGACGCCUACGGGAGGCAGCAGUGGGGAAUAUUGCACAAUGGGCGAAAGCCUGAUGCAGCCAUCCCGCGUGUAUGAAGAAGGCCUUCGGGUUGUAAAGUACUUUCAGCAGGGAAGCGUUACCCGCAGAAUAAGCACCGGCUAACUCCGUGCCAGCAGCCGCGGUAAUAC
rnacentral:rRNA from 1 species